AAAACUUUCAACAACGGAUCUCUUGGCUCUGGCAUCGAUGAAGAACGCAGCGAAAUGCGAUAAGUAAUGUGAAUUGCAGAAUUCAGUGAAUCAUCGAAUCUUUGAACGCACAUUGCGCCCGCCAGUAUUCUGGCGGGCAUGCCUGUUCGAGCGUCA
rnacentral:rRNA from 11 species